AGCGAACGUUUGCGGCGGGCCUAACACAUGCAAGUCGAACGGGCUAGCAAUAGUCAGUGGCGCACGGGUGCGUAACACGUGGGUAAUCAACCCUUCAGCUUGGGAUAACGCCUUGAAAGGGGCGCUAAUACCGGAUACGGCGCGCGGGGCUUCGGCCCUGCACGAGAAAGAUUCGCAAGGAUCACUGAAGGACGAGCCUG
rnacentral:rRNA from 1 species